rnacentral:rRNA from 1 species
GAUGAACGCUCGCUACAGGCUUAACACAUGCAAGUCGCGGGGCAGCAUGGGGGUUGCUUGCAACCCCUGAUGGCGACCGGCGCACGGGUGAGUAACGCGUAUCCAACCUGCCCUUCACCACGGGAUAACCCGGCGAAAGUCGGACUAAUACCGUAUGUUGUCCAUUGACGGCAUCCGAUUUGGACGAAAGGCUUGGCGGUGGAAGGAGGGGGAUGCGUCCGAUUAGCUUGACGGCGGGGUAACGGCCCACCGUGGCUACGAUCGGUAGGGGUUCUGAGAGGAAGGUCCCCCACACUGGAACUGAGACACGGUCCAGACUCCUACGGGAGGCAGCAGUGAGGAAUAUUGGUCAAUGGGCGUAAGCCUGAACCAGCCAAGUAGCGUGCAGGAUGACGGCCCUAUGGGUUGUAAACUGCUUUUAUGCGGGGAUAAAGUGGCCCACGUGUGGGCUUUUGCAGGUACCGCAUGAAUAAGGACCGGCUAAUUCCAUG